rnacentral:tRNA from 2 species
GCCGAAGUGGUGGAAUUGGUAGACACGUGCGCUUGAGGGGCGUAUGGGGUAACACCUGUGGGGGUUCGAAUCCCCCCUUCGGCACCA